UUGGCAAGGAGAAAGAAGCAAGCACUCAGAUCUAUAGAAAUUGUAAACACGUGAUCAUUUUUUUCCAUGAAAGUUGAAAUAUAUACUGACUGAGACCAAAGCAUUCAAAGCUAUAUAUGUGGUUAUUUAUUACUGAUUCAUGUGAAACACUAUUCUAUCUUCUAUAAAGUAAAAACAACUACUCCAAAGAAGCUUGACCUUAUUCCAACCUACCUUAUUUGAGGAUUAAAGGACUAUAAUAAAUAUUUAACACAAUGAAAACACAUGGCACGUGCACUAUCUUAACUGUAAUUGAAAUUUUGCAUCUGUCUGAGAAGGAAAAUCCAUCCACUUUGCAUGGUUUUAGAAUCUGAUGUUUGUUGAAGCAAUACUUCAAGUGUAGCAUUGAAAGCCAUGCAUCAUUUCAUAUAUUGUGACAUGUCUGAGAAGUGAGAAGAAUCAACUGUCACUGCCGCCAUGUAUAUUGCGAACGAGCAACUUCACACAAUGUGUACCAAUAUCACUCAAAACCUCUACACAUUCCUUCAAAUCUGAGUCAUUCACCAACAUCACCCAUUCCUCUUCAUCAUCAAGAUACUUGAGUUGGAAAGAACCAUUUUGUAACUUAAACCUUUUUGCAACUUCUUCAUAGAGUUGACAACAACCUACAGAUGGAUCGAACUUGAAACGAAUAGUGUCUCCUCUAUAGUUAGCUUUGACAGCGAAUUUCGACUCACUAUCGACACAAAUUGAUUUGACUUUCGAGUGCUUCUGAUUCUCAAUGCUUUGAGAUCCUGAUGAACUUCCAUUCACCAUUGAGCCAGAGGCAUUUGAUGAAUCGGUCAUGCUUGAAGAAGUAGGGUUGUUAUGUUCAUCAGCUCCUUUUCCCUCUUCGAAACCAAGUUCAAUCAUUGAAAAAGAACUAUGAGAGCCAAUAUCAUGCAAACUGCUAUUGUCCAACCCACAUUGAUCUUGUUCUUUUUCAAGAACAUAAUCUAUAGUGGUUUGUUUAGGACAAUCCUGAGUCUUUGUCCAAAGCCAUGUUGUUGAAUCUUCAAUACAGUCAACAGAAAUAGCAUUGUCUUUCUCCAAUUCCACCUCGCAUGAGUUAGAAACAAGAACAUCUUCAUCCUCCAACUUAGGUACCGAGGCUUUCUCAGGGAACUUGAGAGUUUUAUUAUGCUUACCAAUUUGUUGGAUGAUUGAACCUCCUGCAACAAAUCCACCAGUGUGAGGGUCAAAUUUCAGAACUCCUUCAACUCCUUGGACAGAAUCAAGCACGGUUUGUAUUUUCUUCAAUGAACGAUUAACUUUAUUUAUCUUGCGCGAUGGCCAUCUUGAAAUUCCAUGUUGUCUGCAUAUUCUCUUCAGAGUUGUUGGACAAACUGUUUAAAGAAUGAAUGAUUGUUAAAAAUUGAAAUCAAUUUUGUCUUUAUUUACAAGAAUGAACUACGUGAAAGGGUAAUGUCAAUCUUAAGAAAAUAUCAUAGAACAUAGCUGUUGUAGUUGCCAAAUUUAAUUUUUUUACAUGAACAACGAAGGAUGUUAAUGAUCUUAGUGAAAAUGUAUCUAAGUUGGAAUUGGAGAGUGUAUGAGUCCAAAUGGUAAGACAUUUUGGAUAUGUUGAGCAUGACUCAUAUUCACUGAUAAGUGGUCAGAUGUGGAGCUGAAAGUGCAAUAAAAACUACAACAGGCACUCUUCGUCAGAGACGUAAGCAUAACUGGCUGAACUCCGUCAUCAAUCGUUUGUGUCUUCUGUGAUUUUAUUUAUGUCUAGUUAGAGCAGGAUUUGAUGUUCUGACAGAACAAAAUUGCAACUCUUAAACUUAUGAUGGACCAACCCUCACACCCUCAAUGAGUCCACUCUUAACUUCCAAGUCAACCCAAAAUUAAAAGCUGAGUUAAUAAUAAAUAUAAAGGAAAUAUUCACAGAUAUUGAUGGUGUCUCACCCCCUAUUUUUUUUGCAGCAUCCUUCAGACUACCAGAAAAGUAUUGUUGGAGAACACUCAAGCUAACAUUCUUCUCCACUGCACUCCUCUUUUUCUCAGCCUGCUUUCUUGAUCCACUUGUUGCCUAUAAGAGAAACUACUACAAUGUUAAAAGGCAUGGUUCCAAAAGACAUUAAAAAUAGCAACAAAAGGAAGUUACAAAGUUAAAAGAUAAAUUAAGGUUUCUGCUCUACUAUUCCACUGCAUAUUCUCUUCAGAUUUCAUUCUGUUGGGUACGACUUCUAGUUUACUGAUAAGUGAGCAGGUGACUAAGCUUCCAUUCUGUAAACCCUAAAAUUCCAGUUAUAAUAUAAAGAUACUGCAGUGCUCUACAGUCGGAGGCAUAGGGACAAUUGGCCGAACUCUGUUAUCAAAUAUCGUGUGUUUUCUGUUUACAUUUUUUCGCAUUUGUUUACUUUUGAACCAGGGUUGCUGUUCUGAGUUCUAAUACAUUCCAUGAUACACAAUAACUUGAAACAAAUGUUUCCUAAAAUGGAGCAUUCAUUUCACAUUAAAUUCUAAAAGGAUGAAAAUAUAGAAGAUUCAGUCAAAAUAUACCUGACUGUAAGCAGCUUGAUUUCCACUAUUUUUUAGGUUCGUUUCGUUGAAUGACAUCUGGAAUAAAUCAUUGUCACCACUACUGAACGCUAUCUGAGAGUUCCCCCGAGACAUAGGAAAAAAACCUGAGACAUUUUCCUUUUGAAACUCAUAUUGAGAACCUUCCAUCCCUCUUAGUUCAGCUUCUGAAACUGUCCUCAAACUCUUGCAAAUUCUUCUCAUAGUAUCUGACAAAUUGUCUAAUAAAAGUUGUUGUUCCGAACUCCCUAUCAUAUUGAUCGGAAGAAAGAAUUCUAACACAUAAUCAUCAUCAUUAGUAUAAGUACUCCUUAGCCUAAUUGCAACGGCAGCAUUCAAGUUAUAUUUUCUCGCGUGAUGAACAAGUGGAUAUUCACUAACAUCAUAAGCCUUCACAUCGGUAUAGAAGAAUGGAUGAUUUGAUUGAAGAGCUUUUCCAGAUAUACCUUGUCCUUCCUCAAGAUGAUGUUCAGAACAUGCAUGAACAAAUCCUCCUACCAUUUUAUCAUUGAUAUAGCAAGCUGAUUCUUCAAUACAUAAUACACAUUUUUCAUUAGAACUUGUUAUAUGGCCUUCUUUAAUUCGUAUUCGCUCAGAUUCUUCACCUUUUCCUUCACUAUAACAACAUGGAAUCCAUGUCAGUGCUAGUGGUAGACUAUGUGCAUGACAAACAGCUCUUAACACAUCAGUUAUCUCUGUUAAUGCAGCUCUUUUGUUACUUGAUACACACUGCAUAAAAAAAUGGACCUCUUGAGAAUUUCAGAUAAAAUGAUAUAUCAGAAAUUCAGGAAUCAGCAAAUACCUGAGGAAGAAGUCGUGGAGGCAUAAUAGUCCUUAGAUUCACACGCUGCGAAAAGUCACGGAAAAUUCAUUUAAUUAUAACACAAUUUGGAAAUAUCUUAAACAUAGAAAAGUUUACUUUUCUUAGUAAUUUUGAAUUCAUUUUGAAUUCAUAUUUUUUGCAAUAAAUAUGAAUUCAAAAUGUAUAUUGUGAGAAACAAAUUGGAGUAUAUAGACCAAAAACCAAAAGGUUAAAUUUUAUAGGGACUAAAAACAUAUUUAACCAUAAAAAACACAACAUAAGAAGCGGUGAAAUAGGAAAACAAGAAAAAUCAAAGUAUAUGGUGGAAGUAGCAAAAGAAAAACCAACCUGAAGUGCAUGAGAAACAAAUUCUAAUUCUUUGUCAAAAUUAGGCUUUUCCUUUGUAGUGACAAGUUCAAGUACAGCACAACAUGAAACUUCAGAGUUCAUAUCAGAUAUAGGAAGAGCGAUUGAUCCCCGAACCUCGUGACUAAUAGCAUGAUCUAAUCUCAAGUACUCAGAUUUAUGGUAGUAACCAACAUUAGAGGUCCAUUCAGGAACAUGCGAGUUAAACACGCGACCAGGAAGUCCAGCACAACAAGAUCCCAUUUUCAUUUCUGCAGAAAACGUAAACGACCUCGAAACUUCGCGGUAACCUGCAAGCUUUUGAUCUAACAAAUAUGGUUGAUCACUUGUAGUUAGGAUGAAGUCAUCACCAUACUUUAUAGGUGCCCAAACUUGUGCUAGUAUUCCUCCACCAGCUGAUUCCUUAAAGAAGGAUAAAGCACUCAUCAUUCUCUCAUCAAGUGACCAACUAGGUGAUUUUGAUAUUAUGUAAUUGCACAUAUCAUAUGAACCAUUUUGUUGUGAAUCUAAAUUAUUAUUUGUUUCAUUUGAAUUAUUAUCUAAGAACUCAAGUUGAGUUUCCAUUUCUUGUAAUAGCACUUUUUCAUCAUAACUAUCCAUAACAUUGUAAUUUCCACCAAUUUCUGUCAUAAAAAAUGGACCAUUUAUGUGUUCAGAUAAAUUCAAUCCAUCAUAUGCAAAUGAUGAAAGAUCAUUAGUUAAAGUUUGAUCAGUUAUUGAUGAUGAACCAUUGCACCAACCAGCAUAGCUAUCAAAGUUCAUAAGCUCGGAGAUGUUGUUAAACAUGUCAUCUGAAUUUAAUGAACUUUUCAUUCCACUAUCAAAUGGUGUCCAAAGGCUGAUUCCACCCCUCUCCUUUGACGAAUAUUGGCCUUCCAUGUUCAGGUUGGUGAGAAAAUUAGAAAUUGAAAUUGAACUAAUGUUAGAGACCCUUUGAAUGAAAAUAUUGCUUUGCACCAAACAUUCCUUCCAAAUUUACCAGCAUCAAGUAGUCCUGCAAGAUUAAAACUGGAUAUAUGCAAACUUUUAACAUAGGGAAGGAAUUCAUGAAAAUCAAUUAAUAAAUCAACACUUGUUUUAGCCUUAUUUUUUUGGUCUUAACCCUCCGGUUAGGGGUCCCUGGUAAUCAAGAGUUCGGUUGAAAGGUAAGUAAAGUUUGGCAAAAAAAAAAAAUCUUGCCAAGAUUCGAAUUCAUGUUCUCUUGAAUGAUUUUUUUAGCCAGGUUUUGAUGACAAAGAUUAAAAAAUGGAAAUCUCAACCCCUCAUCUAGAAAAAAGGAACAUUAAACUCACUCCUCACAAGAAAAAAAUUUGUAUGAGAAAAUGUUUUACGAAUUGGACUCUUAGAUGAAUAUUAUGAAUCUAACAAUUCACAAAGUAUUAAAUCACUUCCAUUUAUUAUUGAAAAUCCAAAAACCAACCAUUGAGAAGCCAAAAUAAUUUCAAUGAACAGAACAUGCACAACUUUGUGACAAACAAUAAAUUCAUCACAAAUUUUCUUAAAACAUCAUAACAAACAAGACAAACAACUAAACAAAAUUUAAAUAAACUAAAAAAAUGAAAUAAAGAUGCACAAAAACCUGAAAGCUUGAAUCCUAGCUCCAUAUAGCAAGCUCCUUCACUGAAACAAUGCAGCAUAAAAUAAACCAACGAUUUGAAAAAUCUAUCAAUGAUUAUUUUUUCAACAAUGCUCCAAAUUAAGUUCUAGUUGUUCUAUAGUUCCAAACUCCAAAUGCUCCAAACUUGACAAAUCCAAAUUCAAGAUUUUCACAAAACCAUAACAAAAGGAAAAGUAUGAGUUAUUUGUGUUACACCGACCUCAAAAUUAUCUAAGUUACUAAGAAUUAAAGACAAAAAAUGUUAGAUAGUUUCUAUAAAAAGAGUGUGAAAGUGGAAUAGUGUACGGCACUUUCA
rnacentral:lncRNA from 1 species